UACAAAAUGUGGAGAGACAAGUGACCAUC
rnacentral:piRNA from 1 species